AAAAGUACAGGGACUAAAAACAAAAUUUAACCCGCAAACAAAAUAAAUAAGACCGUUAAAAUAUUCAUUUUCAAUUCAUAACCAGCUGGUCAAAAACGACGUCUUAACUCCAACGCAAAACCAAAUGAAAAGCCAAAAACCAUGCAAUAAAAAGUUCCAAAAACCAAGUCUUUCUCAUUCUUUUCUUCAUUCCCAAAGCCAC
rnacentral:lncRNA from 1 species